rnacentral:rRNA from 1 species
GACGAACGCUGGCGGCGUGCCUAAUACAUGCAAGUCGAGCGGACUUUCAAGAAGCUUGCUUUUUGAAAGUUAGCGGCGGACGGGUGAGUAACACGUGGGCAACCUGCCUGUAAGACGGGGAUAACUCCGGGAAACCGGGGCUAAUACCGGAUAAUAUCUUUCUUCGCAUGAAGGAAGGUUGAAAGGCGGCGCAAGCUGCCGCUUGCAGAUGGGCCCGCGGCGCAUUAGCUAGUUGGUGAGGUAACGGCUCACCAAGGCGACGAUGCGUAGCCGACCGGGGAGGGUGAUCGGCCACACUGGGACUGAGCCACUGCCCAGACUCCUACGGGAGGCAGGAGUAGGGAAUCUUCCGCAAUGGACGAAGGUCGGACGGAGAAACGCCGCGUGAGCGAAGAAGGUCUUCGGAUCGUAAAGCUCUGUUGUCAGGGAAGAACAAGUACCGUUCGAACAGGACGGUACCUUGACGGUACCUGACCAGAAAGCCACGGCUAACUACGUGCCAGCAGCCGCCGUAA